rnacentral:rRNA from 1 species
AAAUUGAAGAGUUUGAUCAUGACAAGGCUCGAACGCUAACGCCACAAGUCGAACGGUAACAGGAAGCGGCUUUGCGCUGCUGGCGAAACGGCGGGGCGGUGAAGUAUAAUGUCUGGAAACUGCCGCGGUGAGGACCAACUACUGGAAACGGUAGCUAAUACCACGCUAACGUCGCGAGAGCCAAGGAGGACCUUACGGGCCUCUUGCCAUCGGAUGUGCCCAGAUGGGAUUAGCUAGUAGGUGGGGGUAACGGCUCGCUGGGCGAUCUAACUGGUCUGGGGGUUGUUCAGCUUCCAUGGAACACGGGGCCGCGGGUCCGGAGCUCACGGGAGGCAGCAGUGGGGCUCAUUGCACAAUGGGCGCAAAUACGGUACAAGCUUUCCAUCGCGCAUUGUAUGAAAGAAGGCCUUCCCGGGUUUGUAAAGUACUUUCAGCGGGGAGGGGUAAAGUUAACUGCACGCUCGUAGCGAUUGCCCGCAGAAGAAACGCUAAACGCUCCGUGCCAGCAGCCGCGGUGGCCACGGAGGGUGCAAGCGUUAAUCGAAUUACGCGGGCUUGGCACGGUACGGUUUGGCGUUGAAGUCGGAAUGGCGAAAUCCCCGAACUCCGGCACGGGAACUUACAUCUGUGCGGCGGCGGGAAUAUACGGGGGUAGAAUUCCGAGGGUGGCAGCGGUGAAAUGCGUAGAGAUCUGGAGGGCAUCUGCCGGUGGCGAAGGCGGCCCCCGGACGAGGCUUGACGCUCAGGUGCGAAGCGUAGGAACCAGAGCAGGUUGUGCCCCGGUCCACGCCGUAAACGAUGUCGACUUGGAGGUUGUGCCCUUGAGGCGUGGCUUCCGGAGCUAACGCGUUAAGUCGACCGCCUGGGGAGUACGGCCGCAAGGUUAAAACUCAAAUGAAUUGACGGGGGCCCGCACAAGCGGUGGAGCAUGUGGUUUAAUUCGAUGCAACGCGAAGAACCUUACCUGGUCUUGACAUCCACGGAAGUUUUCAGAGAUGAGAAUGUGCCUUCGGGAACCGUGAGACAGGUGCUGCAUGGCUGUCGUCAGCUCGUGUUGUGAAAUGUUGGGUUAAGUCCCGCAACGAGCGCAACCCUUAUCCUUUGUUGCCAGCGGUCCGGAAUACCACGGUGAAUACGUUCCCGGGCCUUGCACACACCGCCAAAUCCUGGGAGGGUUUGCAAAAAGAAGUGGGCGGCUUAACCUUCGGAGGCGCUUACCACUUUGUGAUUCAUGACUGGGGGUGAAGUCGUAACAAGGUAACCGUAGGGGGAACCUGCGGUUGGAUCACCUCCUGCAACCUUAAAGAAGC